rnacentral:rRNA from 1 species
GAUGAACGCUGGCUACAGGCUUAACACAUGCAAGUCGAGGGGAAACGGCAUUGGGUGCUUGCACUGAAUGGACGUCGACCGGCGCACGGGUGAGUAACGCGUAUCCAACCUUCCCGUUACUGCGGGAUAACCUGCCGAAAGGCAGACUAAUACCGCAUGUUCUUCGAUGACGGCAUCAGAUUCGAAGCAAAGAUUCUUCGGUAACGGAGGGGGAUGCGUCUGAUUAGCUGGUUGGCGGGGCGACGGCCCACCAAGGCGACGAUCAGUAGGGGUUCUGAGAGGAAGGUCCCCCACAUUGGAACUGAGACACGGUCCAAACUCCUACGGGAGGCAGCAGUGAGGAAUAUUGGUCAAUGGGCGGAAGCCUGAACCAGCCAAGUAGCGUGCAGGAGGACGGCCCUACGGGUUGUAAACUGCUUUCAUGCGGGGAUAAAGUGAGGGACGCGUCCCUUUUUGCAGGUACCGCAUGAAUAAGGACCGGCUAAUUCCGUGCCAGCAGCCGCGGUAAUACGGAAGGUCCGGGCGUUAUCCGGAUUUAUUGGGUUUAAAGGGAGCGUAGGCCGUGGAUUAAGCGUGUUGUGAAAUGCAGGUGCUCAACGUCUGCACUGCAGCGCGAACUGGUUCACUUGAGUGUGCGCAACGCAGGCGGAAUUCGUCGUGUAGCGGUGAAAUGCUUAGAUAUGACGAAGAACUCCGAUUGCGAAGGCAGCUUGCGGGAGCACAACUGACGCUGAAGCUCGAAGGUGCGGGUAUCGAACAGG